CGCGGGAUGGAGCAUUCUGGUAGCUCGUCGGGCUCAUAACCCGAAGGUCGUCGGUUCAAAUCCGGCUCCCGCAACCA
rnacentral:tRNA from 1 species